rnacentral:rRNA from 1 species
AACGAACGCUGGCGGCAGGCUUAACACAUGCAAGUCGAACGGGCGUAGUAAUACGUCAGUGGCAGACGGGUGAGUAACACGUGGGAACCUUCCUAGGGGUACGGAACAACUCAGGGAAACUUGAGCUAAUACCGUAUACGUCCGUGAGGAGAAAGAUUUAUCGCCCUUAGACGGGCCCGCGUCGGAUUAGCUAGUUGGUGGGUAACGGCCUACCAAGGCGACGAUCCGUAGCUGAUCUGAGAGGAUGAUCAGCCACACUGGGACUGAGACACGGCCCAGACUCCUACGGGAGGCAGCAGUGGGGAAUCUUGGACAAUGGGCGCAAGCCUGAUCCAGCCAUGCCGCGUGAGUGAAGAAGGCCUU